rnacentral:rRNA from 1 species
UCGAACGAUGAAGCCCAGCUUGCUGGGUGGAUUAGUGGCGAACGGGUGAGUAACACGUGAGUAACCUGCCCUUGACUCUGGGAUAAGCGUUGGAAACGACGUCUAAUACCGGAUACGAGCUUCCACCGCAUGGUGAGUUGCUGGAAAGAAUUUUGGUCAAGGAUGGACUCGCGGCCUAUCAGCUUGUUGGUGAGGUAAUGGCUCACCAAGGCGACGACGGGUAGCCGGCCUGAGAGGGUGACCGGCCACACUGGGACUGAGACACGGCCCAGACUCCUACGGGAGGCAGCAGUGGGGAAUAUUGCACAAUGGGCGAAAGCCUGAUGCAGCAACGCCGCGUGAGGGACGACGGCCUUCGGGUUGUAAACCUCUUUUAGCAGGGAAGAAGCGAAAGUGACGGUACCUGCAGAAAAAGCACCGGCUAACUACGUGCCAGCAGCCGCGGUAAUACGUAGGGUGCAAGCGUUGUCCGGAAUUAUUGGGCGUAAAGAGCUCGUAGGCGGUUUGUCGCGUCUGCUGUGAAAUCCCGAGGCUCAACCUCGGGUCUGCAGUGGGUACGGGCAGACUAGAGUGCGGUAGGGGAGAUUGGAAUUCCUGGUGUAGCGGUGGAAUGCGCAGAUAUCAGGAGGAACACCGAUGGCGAAGGCAGAUCUCUGGGCCGCUACUGACGCUGAGGAGCGAAAGGGUGGGGAGCAAACAGGCUUAGAUACCCUGGUAGUCCACCCCGUAAACGUUGGGCGCUAGAUGUGGGGACCAUUCCACGGUUUCCGUGUCGUAGCUAACGCAUUAAGCGCCCCGCCUGGGGAGUACGGCCGCAAGGCUAAAACUCAAAGGAAUUGACGGGGGCCCGCACAAGCGGCGGAGCAUGCGGAUUAAUUCGAUGCAACGCGAAGAACCUUACCAAGGCUUGACAUAUACGAGAACGGGCCAGAAAUGGUCAACUCUUUGGACACUCGUAAACAGGUGGUGCAUGGUUGUCGUCAGCUCGUGUCGUGAGAUGUUGGGUUAAGUCCCGCAACGAGCGCAACCCUCGUUCUAUGUUGCCAGCACGUAAUGGUGGGAACUCAUGGGAUACUGCCGGGGUCAACUCGGAGGAAGGUGGGGACGACGUCAAAUCAUCAUGCCCCUUAUGUCUUGGGCUUCACGCAUGCUACAAUGGCCAGUACAAAGGGCUGCAAUACCGUAAGGUGGAGCGAAUCCCAAAAAGCUGGUCCCAGUUCGGAUUGAGGUCUGCAACUCGACCUCAUGAAGUCGGAGUCGCUAGUAAUCGCAGAUCAGCAACGCUGCGGUGAAUACGUUCCCGGGCCUUGUACACACCGCCCGUCAAGUCAUGAAAGUCGGUAACACCCGAAGCCAGUGGCCUAACCGCAAGG